UUGAACGCUGGCGGCAGGCCUCACACAUGCAAGUCGAGCGGAUGAAGGGAGCUUGCUCCUGGAUUCAGCGGCGGACGGGUGAGUAAUGCCUAGGAAUCUGCCUGGUAGUGGGGGAUAACGUCCGGAAACGGGCGCUAAUACCGCAUACGUCCUGAGGGAGAAAGUGGGGGAUCUUCGGACCUCACGCUAUCAGAUGAGCCUAGGUCGGAUUAGCUAGUUGGUGGGGUAAAGGCCUACCAAGGCGACGAUCCGUAACUGGUCUGAGAGGAUGAUCAGUCACACUGGAACUGAGACACGGUCCAGACUCCUACGGGAGGCAGCAGUGGGGAAUAUCGGACAAUGGGCGAAAGCCUGAUCCAGCCAUGCCGCGUGUGUGAAGAAGGUCUUCGGAUUGUAAAGCACUUUAAGUUGGGAGGAAGGGCAGUAAGUUAAUACCUUGCUGUUUUGACGUUACCAACAGAAUAAGCACCGGCUAACUUCGUG
rnacentral:rRNA from 1 species